rnacentral:rRNA from 1 species
UACAGAGGUCCCAAGCGUUGUUCGGAUUCACUGGGCGUAAAGGGUGCGUAGGUGGUUGUGCAAGUCUGAUGUGAAAUCUCCGGGCUUAACCCGGAAAUGGCAUUGGAAACUGCAUAGCUAGAGGGUUGGAGGGGGGACUGGAAUACUUGGUGUAGCAGUGAAAUGCGUAGAUACCAAGUGGAACACCAGUGGCGAAGGCGAGUCCCUGGACAACACCUGACACUGAGGCACGAAAGCUAGGGGAGCAAACAGG